rnacentral:tRNA from 1 species
UGGGGUUGUAACUCAGUGGUAGAGCACUUGCCUAGCAUGUGUGCAGCCCUGGGUUCUAUCCCCAGCGCCACAA